CCAGAACGUUCAUCACGCACAUGUGUCCCUAUUCCCACUAAUUAGGUUAAUGAUCGACUGCCCAAUGGAGUGCUGUGUGUUUUGGGCUUUCAUGCCCUUGUGGAUUGCGCAGAUGAUUAAGGGUCUCGUCCCGUGUGUUAUUUAUUCCAGCCCAGAGAGGAGUCCCAUCACCAGGCCUUGGAGAGCUGUACCAUGCCCCCGCUGGUCUCCCUAUCCACAACAGUGACAGAUCUAAAGCCUGAUAGAACAGUGACAGUCAGGUGGUGUCUAUUCACUUUUGAUGUAAAGUGUAACUCACACAUCAUUAGAGGUGUUACACUGAGCUGGUGGAUGAGACAAGUACUGAUCUGCAGGGAGACUCCAGAUACCAGGUCACACAACAUUCUCCCUGUGACUUCACUCUGUGACAAUCCAGAGGGAGGACAACAACAGGAAGUGGACACGUCAGCUGACUGAAGGAGGAAAAGUGAAGACCUUCAUUGACUUCACCUCCAUGUUCUCGGGAAGUACCCCAUGCCAGAGAGCAGGAUCCACAACUACUACAUGUAUCAUCUCUGCAAGUCUCUGGACCACAUACACAAUCAUGGUCUCUUCCACCGGUACAUCAAACCAGAGAACAUUCUGAUUAAGCCCAGAGAGGAGUCACAUCGCCAGGCCUUGGACAGCUGUACACCGCCCCCGGAUAGGACCAGUGGAGACCCAAAACACUGACUGCCUCACUACUCCCAGCCCCAUAAUACUGGUGUGGGAGGUAAAGUCACAAUUUGGUGGUUUAAUACAGGUUCCAAGAAACCCUCCAUUCAGCUCUUUUAGAGCCACAGCUAAACAGUUGGUCCAACAGACUUGUGUUAAGCCUCAAGACUGAUUUCAUUUGAAUUAACUACUAGGUCUCAUGUGCCCAUACAAUACUACUAAAACAAACAGUGCUGAAGCUAAACUCAUGAGAAACAUUUAGAGGAAAGUCCUCUGGUGACUGACUGUCCAUUCAGCCCACUAGUAAAAGACUGGAGGUCAGAGACAAACAAGGUCUAUCAAAGCUGUUUAAUAGGAGUCACACAGUGGGGGAAAAAAAACACUCCCACUGUUAGACCUUGGAGAAUCCUUCCACUGCCUACCUGGGUGCAUCACAUCCUCCCUAUUCAGGGAGGUGAAACUGUCAGGGGCGAACUUCCCGGAAGCUUCGUAGCACUACGAUCAUGCUUAUAGAAGUCCAUUGUCAGCAAUGGUUGGAAGAUGACCUUAGAGCUACAAAGCUUUAAGCAAUGCAAUGAAUAGACCAUUUUCACCGAAUACAUUCCGAUGUGAACGUUUCACUCCCCUGAGCUAGCCCGAGCACUCAUACCACCAAGUAUUGAUGUUCAAGAAGUGUCAGUUGUCUGGAUCACAUAACUCCUGUACCGCCAUAGUCCACACAACCAUAACGCCAGUUCAGGCAUAUGUUAUAUUUGUUAUAUACUAGGUAGGUAAGUGAAUUGACACGUUUAGAGUACUGGUACCUAUUAAUGGGUGAGAGACCUAUGUUAGCAGUAGUCUUCCAUGUUUUACCUGAGCUCUGAGUGAUGGCUGAAUUAGACGGCUCCUAGCUUAGCCUAUGGCCCGGUCCUAAAUCAACCUCUAGCACCUACGACCUGUGCCCUCGUGCAAAUCUGAGAGGAUUGGAUAGGCAUAGAAGCAAUAUAGUGAAAAUUGAAUAAAGUGUUUCAGGGAAAUGUGGUGCUAUAUCUACCUACAUAAUCCAGGUCUCCGCA
ensembl:lncRNA